CAGCUCGCGGCCUCUCACCGAGCCCAAGAGCCGUUGGUGUGCAGGUGAUUCAGUGCGUGUGUGUUUCAUUGUGGAUUUGUUUCAAAGACAUUGUCAUCUGUGUAGAAGCCAGUUUCAAUUUCUGGAUUCUACCCCUUGCCCUGCUGGCAGGGCAUUGAGCGGCACCCGUUGCCGGCCACCUGGGUGCGGAGAGCGAGGAGGGUGAACGGAGGAGCAACCCCGAGCAUCUGCCAGUCAGCUCCAUCCGAUCUAGAGAUGGAGCAAAUAAGGCGGAUGCUGAGGAGGAAGGCCGGGCACGUGCCUCCAGAGCCGGCAGCAAACAUCAGGCAGCCUGCCCAGGAGGAGAGCGGCCCCUCUGUCCCCGCGGGCAGGGAAGAGGCUCGUGGCCAGGGGAAAGGGAGGAGCUGCUUCGCCUGCUGGAGGAGGCGGAAGACAGCAGCUCCUCUAGCUGACCCGGAGGCACCUUCUGGGCCGAAACGGAAGUGGCCCCGGGUUCAGCUGUGGAGCAGAGAGGCAGGGGAGGGCAGGAGCCGGGGACGGCAGCUCUGGGGCUUCCACUGCAGGAAGCCAAGGAGCCAGGAGCUGCGCCCCAGGGCCCAGCAGGAGCCGCCAACCACUGUGGCAGCUGAGGGGCCUCCCGCCGGCCCCAGCCUGGCCCCGGAGGAAA